GAUGAACGCUGGCGGCGUGCCUAACACAUGCAAGUCGAGCGAUGAAACCGCCUCCGGGCGGACAUGAAGCGGCGAACGGGUGAGUAACACGUGACCGACCUGCCCCCCGCCCAGGGACAGCCCCCCGAAAGGGGGAUUAAUACCUGGUACUCCGGAAGCGGCGCAUGCCGCGUCCGGGAAAGCUUUCGCGGCGGGGGAUGGGGUCGCGGCCCAUCAGGUAGACGGCGGGGCAGAGGCCCACCGUGCCGACGACGGGUAGCCGGGUUGAGAGACCGACCGGCCACAUUGGGACUGAGAUACGGCCCAGACUCCUACGGGAGGCAGCGGUGGGGAAUUUUGCGCAAUGGGGGCAACCCUGACGCAGCAACGCCGCGUGCGGGACGAAGGCGUCCGCGUCGUAAACCGCUUUCAGCGGGGAACACUUCAACGAGGGUACCCGCAGAAGAAGCCCCGGCUAAAUACGUGCCAGCAGCCGCCGCAG
rnacentral:rRNA from 1 species